rnacentral:rRNA from 1 species
UACGAAGGGGGCUAGCGUUGCUCGGAAUCACUUGGCGUAAAGCGCACGUAGGCGGAUUUCUAAGUCAGGUGUGAAAUCCUGGAGCUCAACUCCAGAACUGCCUUUGAUACUGGGAAUCUUCGAGUCCGGGAGAGGUGAGUGGAACUGCGAGUGUAGAGGUGAAAUUCGUAGAUAUUCGCAAGAACACCAGUGGCGAAGGCGGCUCACUGGCCCGGUACUGACGCUGAGGUGCGAAAGCGUGGGGAGCAAACAGG